UAUAGCAGCAAUAUCACCCUGAAGCCCAAGACUGGUCACCCACUGAAGCUAAGCAGGGUUGAGCCUGGUUAGUACCUGGAUGGGAGACCUCCUGGGAAAACUAGGCUGCUGUUGGAA
rnacentral:rRNA from 1 species